GGUACUAUAGUACCCAUCCCCAUACCCGCAGUUUAAAAAAAUACCCGUACCCAUCCCCAUACCCACGUGGGUAACGAUCUUUGUCCCCGUCCACUACAAAAAAUAUGUUGACUUACGACACAUGAAUUCUGGCAGUUUAGAAGAACCGUCGUCGCUAUGUUAAUAUUUGAAACCUUGCGGCCGUUCAAAAGCAACCGUCGAGAAGUCGACAAACCCACGCUAUUUCACUUCUUCCCUCUUUUUUCAGAAUUUCUUCAAUCCCACAACCUUCGAGCUUCAAUCUCUAAAUCAGAUUCGUUUUCAAGCUUCUUCAAUCCCUAAACCCUAGAAAAAUAUGCGAUAUUCUUACUCAUAAAUAAGCUUCAAUCCUAAAUCUGUGAUUCUCACUCACAAGCUCCAAUCCCUAAAUCUCUCAAGCUACGUUCAGGUUCAACAUUCAGGCUUCGUUCGAAUCCCUAAAUCACUCAACCUCUCAAGCUUCGUUGAACCUCUCAAGCUUCGCUGAACCUUCAAUCUCCAUUCAACUUCGUUCAGCUUCGUUUAACAUUAAAAUUCAUAUUCAAUCUUCAAAAUCCAGGUUCAAUUUUACUUCAGAUUCAAUAUUCCUUGAAAUUGAGGUUCACUUGAAUAUAUGAUUUGCUUAAUUUUGCUUCAGAUUCAACAUUGCUUAAUUUUGCUUCAGGUUCACUUGAAGCCCCUUUACAUAGCUCAUUGUAUGAAUAAUUAAGCUUCGGAUUUUUAAAGUCAAUUGAGGUGUUUAACCUUCUGAUAUGUGGUUUAUUUAUCUUGUCAUUACUUUGUAAUUUUGAAGGAUGUGAUUUAGAAUAAGUUGAGAUCAGUAUGGUAGCUUUAUUGUUGAAAACUCAUAGCAAUGCCAUCUUUGAUAACACUCUAAUAAGGUUCUGUUUGGCGAAUUUUUUUGGAAUGUUAGGCUCUAGUGUAACACAGGGUUUUAUGUACCUAUGACAUUCACAUUUUGGUUAAUUGAUGAAUAUUAGGGCUGUAAUUUGCAUCUAAUUAAUUUUUGUUUCAAGCAGGGAAUUAAUUGUGCUAUGAUUAUGUCACCUAUCCAUAUAGUUAACACUUGUAUUUCCUGGUGGCUGGUCCUGUUAUUCUUUACAUUUCAUUAUUACAUCCUUGUUGUCUGAGAUUUUGUCACCAGGACUUGUUUUAAAGCCUAGCUUUCAUUGAUUUUUUCUGUUCCUAGUCUCACUUGGUGGGACAAUUUGCCAGAUUAUAUUAAGAAUGAUUUUCAUCCUAAUAGAUUAGGUUUGCCUAUUUAUUGUUUCUGUUAAUUGUUAUUGAAUUCUGUUGAUUUGGGUUAUGGAUUCAGUUCUUGCAAAUGUAGGCAAGACUAUUAAACUUAUAAUAAUGUUAAUCAUUCCCUGGAACUUGCCAUGACUUUACACCACUAGAUGGUUCAUUAGAAGAAAAUUUAAUGGGAACUUUACUACACUAAGUUGUAAAUUUAGGAGUCACAAUGUAAUGGUUAGAAAAUAAGACUGUCAUAUACUGAUUUUCAAAAUGGUUUUUAUGUCGGCGAUGAGAAGGAAUAAGGUUGGAGCAUACCGGUUCAUUUGAGGCCAAGAGACUUGUACGACAUGGGUGGAGAUGAAAUGAUGGCAUCCAAUGAGACAUAUCCAUCACAAAACUUAGAAGAACUCUUUUAGAUGAUAACACAUAUAUCCCUUUGGCAAGAGUUAAUGAUGAUAAUGAUGAUAUGCUUUUAUGAAUAAUGUUUAGAUUCAAAAUUUGAUAUGUGAAUGAAGUUUCAGUUUUGUGACUGUUCUUUUAAUGUCUUUGACUGUUUCAGUUUUGUGAAUUUUACAAAUCUUUUCUAUUCAAUUUGUAUCUGUGGUUUUGAAAAUUGAUUGUAGGUAUGUCUACCUCAAAAAGAAGACGUAAUUAUCGUAUACAACCUCCCACUCAACUUCAACCCCAACAUCGACAACCUCAAUCUCCCCCUCAACUUCAUCAUUCACAUGAGAUGGCUUUUACUUCUGCAUUAUAACUGUAACUAAGUUGUGGUAUAGGUAUUGCUGCGAGAUCCAACAGAUGAACACGUGGUUCUUGUUGUUGAGGAACUGUAGAGGUGAUUGCCUAAACUGAGUGACAUCCGUCAACAACAAGGAGAUGGUAAAGAGUAUUUUGGUGGUCAACAGGAUGCUGAAGCUGCUGAAGAUGAGUCACCGUUUGAGUUUCGUGCCUUGGAGGUGGCUUUAGAAGCCAUUUGUAGUUAUCUUGCUGCACGUACAACUGAGUUGGAGAUGGCUGCUUAUCCUGCAUUAUAUGAACUUACCUCCAAGAGUUCGUAAACUGAAGAGUGCAAUGAAGAGGCUGACAGCUCGGGUUCAAAAGGUAUGUUAAGCUCUUCUUGAGGUUUAAAACUAUCAUGCUUCAUAUCCCUUUGUAUUUUAGUUAUACUAGUUAAGAAGGGUAAUAUUUUAGUUAUACUAGAGUUAAGAAGGGUGAGGUUUAGGACUGGAAUAACAGAAUCUUUGUUUGGUUUGUGGUGUGUUAAUUUCAGCUUGCUUGUUUGGUAUUCUGUCAAUUUCAUCUUUUAUAUUUGGAAGUUUUUACUUGCAAUUAGCUUUUGUUCUUAAUUUAUUAUAUAAUAUAGAUGCAAUUCUCUACCAAAAAAUAAAAAUAUAGAUGCAAUUAGCAUCUUCUAUGUUUUGGAUGUUUAGGUAUAGGUGGGCUAUUUUUAUUAUGUUUAAGAGACCUUGUUUAACACA